rnacentral:rRNA from 1 species
GAUGAACGCUGGCGGCGUGCCUAAUACAUGCAAGUCGAGCGAACGGACGAGAAGCUUGCUUCUCUGAUGUUAGCGGCGGACGGGUGAGUAACACGUGGAUAACCUACCUAUAAGACUGGGAUAACUUCGGGAAACCGGAGCUAAUACCGGAUAAUAUUUUGAACCGCAUGGUUCAAAAGUGAAAGACGGUCUUGCUGUCACUUAUAGAUGGAACCGCGCUGCAUUAGCUAGUUGGUAAGGUAACGGCUUACCAAGGCAACGAUGCAUGGCCGACCUGAGAGGGUGAUCGGCCACACUGGAACUGAGACACGGUCCAGACUCCUACGGGAGGCAGCAGUAGGGAAUCUUCCGCAAUGGGCGAAAGCCUGACGGAGCAACGCCGCGUGAGUGAUGAAGGUCUUCGGAUCGUAAAACUCUGUUAUUAGGGAAGAACAUAUGUGUAAGUAACUGUGCACAUCUUGACGGUACCUAAUCAGAAAGCCACGGCUAACUACGUG